GACAGAGGGUGCAAACGUUGCUCGGAAUUACUGGGCGUAAAGCGCACGUAGGCGGCUUUCUAAGUCGGGGGUGAAAUCCUGGAGCUCAACUCCAGAACUGCCUUUGAUACUGGAGAGCUCGAGUCCGGGAGAGGUGAGUGGAACUGCGAGUGUAGAGGUGAAAUUCGUAGAUAUUCGCAAGAACACCAGUGGCGAAGGCGGCUCACUGGCCCGGUACUGACGCUGAGGUGCGAAAGCGUGGGGAGCAAACAGG
rnacentral:rRNA from 1 species